ensembl:lncRNA
UGUGGCCGCUGUGGUGGCUCUCGCUGUCGAAGCUCAUAGGCGAGGUUUAAAUCAGUUGUGGUUGUUUUUUCGUACAAAAACUCAUCCGACUAGCAGAGAUACAUUAUGGUGGGUUGCAGAACAACAGAUUGUGUGUCUGCAUACCAGGGACUGUGGUGGGAAGUGGCUGAACUACAGCCCAUUAAAAACUCAACAGUCGCUGAUGUUCCUCUUUAGUAUUUACAAUCCAGAGACAGGUCCUUAUGCAUGUAGGGGUUACACUGUGAAUACAGAUACAGGUCAUGUAGGGGGUUAGACAGUGAAUACAGAGACAGGUCAUUAAGGAGCAUGUAGGGGUUAGACAGUGAAUACAGAGACAGGACAUUAAGGAGCAGGUAGGGAAACGACUGAAUUUUUUUUUGCUUUUAAGCAUAAAUGU